UAGCCUUGUAACUGGUGACAUGAAGCUUCCUACCUAUGAGGUCAGGAAUGUAGCGCUAUAUUUAAUGUUUAUACCAUUGACACGUUAGUCUUUGAACGUCCUCUCGUACAGCUGGCUUUGCCUCUGAGGAAGUGCUGAGCAGUUGCAGGAAGAGUCUCCAGCCCUUGUCCGUCAUGAGUGGAUCUAGCGUCUAUGGAAACCUUCUGGUGAGAUCACAGGAGUGGUUCAGGCACUAGGUUACAUUGGUUAAGUCACUAGCCAGAUGUAGUGCAGAAGACUCCAGGAGUGACCGAACAAUUCAGUUUCCAGCUGCUGUUCAUAGAAGUCUCCACUCCUUGCAAUGACAAGCCAUUUCUGCUGGACAGAAAAAGGAGUGAGAAAGGAGCUGUGGACAUUUACUGAUUUUGUAAAUAUGAAA